GCCUCAGUAGCUCAAUGGUGGAGCACUCGGCUGUUAACCGAUAGGUUGCCCGUUCGAGCCGGGCCUGAGGCGCCA
rnacentral:tRNA from 1 species